rnacentral:rRNA from 1 species
AGAGUUUGAUCAUGGCUCAGGAUGAACGCUAGCUACAGGCUUAACACAUGCAAGUCGAGGGGAAACGACAUCGAAAGCUUGCUUUUUGAUGGGCGUCGACGGCCCCCGCACGGGUGAGUAACGCGUAUCCAACCUGCCCACCACUUGGGGAUAACCUUGCGAAAGUAAGACUAAUACCCAAUGAUAUCUCUAGAAGACAUCUGAAAGAGAUUAAAGAUUUAUCGGUGAUGGAUGGGGAUGCGUCUGAUUAGCUUGUUGGCGGGGUAACGGCCCACCAAGGCAACGAUCAGUAGGGGUUCUGAGAGGAAGGUCCCCCACAUUGGAACUGAGACACGGUCCAAACUCCUACGGGAGGCAGCA